UUUGUUGUGGGAAAAAGUAAUAUAAAUGGGACCCAUUCUUUGACUUUGUAUGAGUUAUUUUGUUUUGUAGUGGGUAGAAUUAAGUUAGAAUUGUUAUUCUAAAAUACAACUCUGAAACCAAACAGAAUAUGUUGAUGAUGCUUCAUGGUGUGUCAGCCUCGCAUCUGAUCAUUACUGUAAGCAGAGAUUGCCGGGUGAAUUGUUUUGGCAUCUUGGUCAAUUGUAUUAAUUAGCUCUGUGAAGUUACUGAUAUUGAGAGCAAAUCGCAUAAAGAUAUUUAUCAAAAAAUUAUUGACGAGUUUCACACUCAAGCAGUGAGUCAGUAGCCGAAAGAACCUCCAGCUUAGGAGUGGCCCCCGUCAUUCUUGCAUCGAGCAUGCUGCCUAAUUCUUUGCCACUUAGCAUUAUGCCCGAUUCAGGUUUACUGGACUCCACCCCCAGCGGGGAGGGUGAGCUGCACUGAUGGAUCAGCUCUGUGUUCACCCGGUAAGGCAGCGGCUAGAGGUGUUCUUCUAAAUCGUCAACGGGGCUGGGUCUAAGGAUUCAGCCCCACUCUCUUUGUACUUCUGACAGCCUGAAUGCCGAGUGCUGGGCUCUUUGUGAUGGUCUUCGCUUGGCUUUCAAUGAAGCAUCCAAUCUCUCCACGUAGCGUUAGACGCAAAGGAUCUGAUUGAUGAUUCGAGAACUUCAAAGAUGCUCCAUAAUUUCCAUGAAGCUAAUGUGGUGGUGGAUCACACCUUGCUCGUCUAGCUAGGGAUAUGUCUUAUGUUAUUGUCAGGACAUUGUAUUUUGAGACCCCUCCUUUCGGGGGUUCUAGACCUCGUCGCUCCUCUUGUGGGUGUCUCUAAUACCCGCUUCAUCUGUAUUUACCGUGCCCAAAAUCCCGAACUUGUCCUACUUCCCCAGUGCAAGAGGAGGACUAAUAAAGUCAGGGAUUAGUGCAAGGAAAUCCUGAAAUUAAUCUGCUGCAUAACCAAGGAAAUCUUAAAGUUGUU